rnacentral:rRNA from 1 species
UCGGGAAUUUUGGGCAAUGGGGGAAACCCUGACCCAGCAACGCCGCGUGAAGGAUGAAGUAUUUCGGUAUGUAAACUUCGAAAGAAUAGGAAGAAUAAAUGACGGUACUAUUUGUAAGGUCCGGCUAACUACGUGCCAGCAGCCGCGGUAAUGCAGAGACUGCAAGCGUUAUUCGGAUUCACUGGGCGUAAAGGGUGCGCAGGCGGUUGGGUGUGUCAGAUGUGAAAUCCCGAGGCUUAACCUCGGAACUGCGUCUGAAACUACUCGACUAGAGUAUUGGAGAGGGUAACGGAAUUCACGGUGUAGCAGUGAAAUGCGUAGAUAUCAAGAGGAACACCUGAGGUGAAGACGGGUUGCUGGGCUGACACUGACGCUGAGGCGCGAAAGCCAGGGGAGCAAACGGGAUUAGAUACCCUGGUAGUCCCUGAGCGGGCUGGCAAGGCGCAU